rnacentral:rRNA from 1 species
AAUAUUGGACAUUGGGGGGAACCCUGAUCCAGCCAUGCAGCGUGUGUGAAGAUGGUCUUCGGUUUGUAAAGCACUUUAAGUUGGGCGGAAGGGGUUGAAGAUAAUCCCUGCAAUCAUUGACGUAACCAACAGAAUAAGCACCGGCUAACUCUGUGCCAGCAGCCGCGGUAAUACAGAGGGUGCAAGCGUUAAUCUGAAUUACUGGGCGUAAAGCGCGCGUAGGUGGUUCGUUAAGUUGGAAGUGAAAGCCCCGGGCUUAACCUGGGAAUUGCUUUCAAUACUGACGAGCUAGAGUACGGUAGAGAGUAGUGGAAUUUCCUGUAUAGCGGUGAAAUGCGUAGAUAUAGGAAGGAACAUCAGUGGCGAAGGCGACUACCUGGACUGAUUCUGACACUGAGGUGCGAAAGCGUGGGGGGCAAACAGG